CGGCCCAGACUCCUACGGGAGGCAGCAGUAGGGAAUCUUCGGCAAUGGGGGGAACCCUGACCGAGCAACGCCGCGUGAGUGAAGAAGGUUUUCGGAUCGUAAAGCUCUGUUGUAAGAGAAGAACGUUAGUAAGAGUGGAAAGUUUACUAAGUGACGGUAUCUUACCAGAAAGGGACGGCUAACUACGUGCCAGCAGCCGCGGUAAUACGUAGGUCCCAAGCGUUGUCCGGAUUUAUUGGGCGUAAAGCGAGCGCAGGCGGUUGUAUAAGUCAGAAGUAAAAGGCAGUGGCUCAACCAUUGUGUGCUUUUGAAACUGUACAACUUGAGUGCAGAAGGGGAGAGUGGAAUUCCAUGUGUAGCGGUGAAAUGCGUAGAUAUAUGGAGGAACACCGGUGGCGAAAGCGGCUCUCUGGUCUGUAACUG
rnacentral:rRNA from 1 species